CCAGUCCUAACCUCCCUACCUCCAGGUGGAGGAUAUUCUGUUCUCUGCCUGGCACCUUCCUGGGAGGCAGGGUGGCCAGGGCACAGGGCUCUGCUGGUCCUGCAGGGUACAAGGGAUCUUCCAUACUUCCUCCGUCUUGGGAAGGAGAAGCAGCAAUGCUGUGUCUCAGCUACAACCUGGAGGGAGAGCCUUUGCCCUGCCUACCCCUCCUUAUAGUGUUGGCAGUGUGGGCAGCCCUGGGCCGCUUGCAUCUCUAGGUAUCUAUGAACAUAUUUACUGACUCAGGAGCAGUGGCAAAUGAAACGCCACGUGUGGCAGGCAGCUUUACUUGUUGACAAUGAUGUGUGCACUCCCCGAUGGCUGCACUCCUCUGCAGGUGGAGAAGAC
rnacentral:lncRNA from 1 species